rnacentral:rRNA from 1 species
AACGAACGCUGGCGGCAGGCUUAACACAUGCAAGUCGAACGCCCGUAGCAAUACGGGAGUGGCGGACGGGUGAGUAACGCGUGGGAACGUGCCCUGAGGUACGGAAUAACUGCGGGAAACUGCAGCUAAUACCGUAUGAGCCCCGCAAGGGGGAAAGAUUUAUCGCCUUAGGAGCGGCCCGCGUCGGAUUAGCUAGUUGGUGGGGUAACGGCUUACCAAGGCUUCGAUCCGUAGCUGGUCUGAGAGGACGACCAGCCACACUGGGACUGAGACACGGCCCAGACUCCUACGGGAGGCAGCAGUGGGGAAUCUUGCGCAAUGGGGGCAACCCUGACGCAGCCAUGCCGCGUGAAUGAUGAAGGCCUUAGGGUUGUAAAGUUCUUUUGCCCGUGACGAUGAUGACGGUAACGGGAGAAUAAGCUCCGGCUAACUUCGUGCCAGCAGCCGCGGUAAAAC